CCAGGGCCAGCCUGGGUGUUAGUGCCACACAGGGCUCCCAGCCGGGCUGCCACUUCACCUACCUUGUUUACCAGCCUCUAGCAGAGACCGGUGAGCCCCUGGCAAGAUCGCGGAGUCGCCCCUGACCUGGCUGAGCCGGGGAGAACGUGGCUGCUU